NNNNNNNNNNNNNNNNNNGGAACAGAGCAUGGACAGAGUUCCUACUCCAGUCUUCUGAAGAUGCCGGCCACAGAGACUGGUGAAACGUCAGGAAGAACAACCUUCAGAACAUGGCCAAAGAGCCCAAAAAAACCCACAGCAACCAUCUGUGCUAUCCUGUCUCCCUCCAGUCUUCUUUGUUCAAGGCUAAACGGGCCCAAUUCCUUCAGCUUUUCCCCACGUUCUAUGAUACCCCUAGACUCACAAAGAGAGUAUGGCUUAAUAAGAAGUUGACGGCAUACACCAAAAUACAGGCCUAUAGAGCCUGUGUCCUGAGCACACUCCUAUACUGCAGCAAGUCCUGGACCCUUUGUGCACGGCAGGAGAGGAAGCCGAACACCUUCCAUAUGCGUUGUCUCCGACGCAUUCUUGGUAUCACCUGGCAGGACAAAGUUCCAAAUAGAGUAGUCCUAGAACGAGCUGGAAUUUUCAGCAUGUAUACAGUAUUGAAACAGCGCCGUCUACGUUGGCUUGGGCACAUCGUGAGAAUGGCUGAUGGGCGGAUUCCAAAAGAUCUCCUGUAUGGAGAAUUAGUGAAGGGAAGCCGCCCCCGAGGGGGACCACAGCUGCGUUACAAGGACAUCUGCAAGCGGGAUCUGAAGGCCUUAGGAAUGGACCUCAACAGAUGGGAAACCUUGACGUCUGAGCGUUCAGCCUGGAGGCAGGCGGUGCAUCAUGGCCUCUCCCAAUUUGAAGAGACACUUGUACAGCAGACUGAGGCAAAGAGGCAGUCCCGAAACAAGCAAAACCAGGGAGCUGGACAGGGGACAGAUUGGAUUUGUCUCCAGUGUGGAAGGGAUUGUCACUCUCGAAUUGGCCUUCUCAGCCACACAAGACACUGUUCCAAGACCUCCAUACAGAGCACGAUACCAUAGUCUCUCGAGACUGAAGGAUGCCUACACAUGAUACCCCACCAGAUUCCACCUGAAGAGUUUAGGCUGGACCAGGGAAUGCAGAGAAGUGUCAUGGCCUCGUUCCUAGCCAAAGGGGUGCUAUGGGUCACUCAACUUUGGGUUGUUCUGG
rnacentral:lncRNA from 1 species